AUCAUUUUGUGGCUGAUAUGUGUGAUGAGGGGGUUUUCACACUCUUAUGUGGGAUGGGAAACGUCUUUAGAACAGUGGCACUUUACCUGUCUUAUA
rfam:Papio anubis isolate 1X1155 chromosome 16, whole genome shotgun sequence.